rnacentral:rRNA from 1 species
UGGGUCAGCGACUUAUAUUCUGUAGCAAGGUUAACCGAAUAGGGGAGCCGAAGGGAAACCGAGUCUUAACUGGGCGUUAAGUUGCAGGGUAUAGACCCGAAACCCGGUGAUCUAGCCAUGGGCAGGUUGAAGGUUGGGUAACACUAACUGGAGGACCGAACCGACUAAUGUUGAAAAAUUAGCGGAUGACUUGUGGCUGGGGGUGAAAGGCCAAUCAAACCGGGAGAUAGCUGGUUCUCCCCGAAAGCUAUUUAGGUAGCGCCUCGUGAAUUCAUCUCCGGGGGUAGAGCACUGUUUCGGCAAGGGGGUCAUCCCGACUUACCAACCCGAUGCAAACUGCGAAUACCGGAGAAUGUUAUCACGGGAGACACACGGCGGGUGCUAACGUCCGUCGUGAAGAGGGAAACAACCCAGACCGCCAGCUAAGGUCCCAAAGUCAUGGUUAAGUGGGAAACGAUGUGGGAAGGCCCAGACAGCCAGGAUGUUGGCUUAGAAGCAGCCAUCAUUUAAAGAAAGCGUAAUAGCUCACUGGUCGAGUCGGCCUGCGCGGAAGAUGUAACGGGGCUAAACCAUGCACCGAAGCUGCGGCAGCGACACUGUGUGUUGUUGGGUAGGGGAGCGU